UCAUGACUCCAAACUGUAAUGUUGAAUCUUUGCAGCCCAAACCUCCCUCUCAUACCCCAGAAUGUCCUGUCAGCGCUCUUCUACAAAGCUCACGCUCAUCUUUCUCACACCCCAAUCUUAAACCAUCUAUCACACAGGUAUCAAAAUCAAGGCCCGCAGACUGAAUCCGGCCCGACAGCAGGUUUCAUCCGGCCUGCGAGACGUUUUGGGAAGAAGGGGAACAUCUUUGAAAGACAAAUUGCACUUACCGAUGGUGAUCUGACUGACGCAGCUGUAGAAGGUUCCUGAAGAGACAUUGUAGCUGCCACUGCUGGGCUCACGGUCUAUGACAAAGGCAGACAUCAGCAAAAAAUGUUUUCCUGGUUUGCAGAGUGUCAAUAAAGUGUGCACUAAGCCACUUACAGCACUGCUCCUGGCAAUUUGAGGAAAGUCAUGACCCUGCAUUUUUUGUCUAAA